rnacentral:rRNA from 1 species
GGACUACACGGGUUUCUAAUCCUGUUUGCUACCCACGCUUUCGUGUCUCAGCGUCAGAAGAUGUCCAGUAAGCUGUCUACACCACAGGUGUUCCUCCUGAUAUCUACGCAUUUCACCGCUACACCAGGAAUUCCGCUUACCUCUCCAUCCCUCGAGCACUCCAGUCUUCGGCGCACCCUCCCAGUUGAGCCGGGAGAUUUCACACCAAACUUAGAGCACCGCCUACACACUCUUUACGCCCAGUAAUUCCGAACAACGCUUGCUGCCUACGUAUUACCGCGGCUGCUGGCAC